CCGUGGAGCAUGGAUGCAAAUCUCAUGCACAUCAGCUAUGAAUCUGGUGUUCUGGAGAAUCCGAAGGUAAGAGAUCCUUAUGAUCAAAGCUCUGCAGAUGCUAAACAUUUAAUGCAAUGCAAUCCGGCGACGAUUGAGAGAUGCACAAACAAACCUUGCUCAGAAUAACUGAUGAGCAGAUUUCAGACUCACGUUUGAAGAAUUUUUCUAAAAAAAAAAAAAAAAAGAUGUCUGGAUAAUCGAGUAAAGCAAAGUUAUUUCCGUUCA